CUUCCCUAUGGCAGAGGAUGAGAGCACAACUCUACCAGCCUGCAAAGUGCUUGCUUCCUUCUUCUCCCCAAAGCACGGGCACCUCUUUGCUAAGAGGUCAGGUCCAAAGAUCACACAAUUUCACUUGAAAAUACGGAUACAAAAAGGCUGCUCAGCCUCACUGAAUCUGGAUCUUUAGAAGGAAAACUUGCUCUCCAUAGUCAUAGCAAAGUGAUUGAAGAACACUGAUGAAAUAAACAGGUACAGGGGCUGUCCAAUAAAAGUGAGAAAGUGCAAAAUGUA